rnacentral:tRNA from 1 species
GCCCGGGUGGCUCAGUCGGUGAAGCGUCUGACUUCAGCUCAGGUCGUGAUCUGGCUGUUCGUGGGUUCGAGCCCCGCGUCGGGCU